rnacentral:lncRNA from 1 species
AUGUGCAGUGGUACAGUGGUUGGUGGCCCUGCCUGUGGCAGGGAGUUGGAGAUUCCUGAUCCUUGAGGUCCUUUCCAACCAGUGCCAUUCUGAGUGUGUGUGUGUGACUGGCUAAACACCAAUUGUUGCUAGCUCAGCAGGUAUACUGCUAAUUAUUGAACGUCUGACAGCUGCUUAUCAACACUUGGCCACUAUUUCUGGACACCUGCUCAUCCCUGAAGAGAGAGAAGUUUGGAAGGAGGACAGAGGGGAGUCUCUUGAUGCCUGCCUGUUGCAUCCCAACCUGCCCACAGAGGCAAAUUACUAAACACAUGGUGCUGUACUGCUUCAGAGCAAUCCCACAUUUGAUAGCCAGUGCAGAAACAACAUUCCAUCCUACAGCAUUAGCUAGUUCAGAGGUACCAGACGUGUAUCUGGAUGUGGCUGUUGUGCAUAACUGGGGCUGAGGGAUCAGAAGUGACAGCUCCACUCUUGGAGACCACAGAACUAAAAUGGAAAGAUAAAAUAGUUGCAGGGCAAUUGUUCUCUGUGCCUGAAGCAGGGACCAAUUUAUGGGGGCGAGAUUUAACAGUUAAAUGAGGAUUACAGCUGCAAGUCUGUGAAACAGAUAUCAGGUGUCAAUGGAUGUGUUAUCAGCUGUGAUGAAGAAGAAAUGAAUCCAAAGCUGUGGGCAGGGGAAGGAAAUCGGGGUGGACUCACAAUUUUCCCUUACAAAGAACUGCCCAAGGAGGGAGUGGAGCUGUGAAACAGCAACAAUAUCCCAUAGCCUUAGAAGGGAGAGUGGGUCUAAAAGCUGUAACAGACAGUGGUUAAGGAUGUCUUCUGGAACCUUGUCUGUGGCCUUAUAACACCCCAAUCCUGUCGGCACUGAAAGGCAGACGGCACGUAUCGGCUGGUGCAAGAUGUAAGGAAAUGACUGAACCCGUUCUCAAAAGACAGCCUGUGGUUCCUAACCCCUAUACCCUAAUGAGUCAGAUCCCACACGGACAGCAGUGGUUUGGUGUGAGAGACCUCAAAGAUGCUUUCCGGACAGCCUUUGGACUCAGAGAGAAAUGGCUGCGUUUGUAUGAGGACACAUUGUAAUCCUAUCGUGAUUCGUGAUGAUACUGUAGAUACUGGAACUCGUGCUAAUCCUUGUCUUUGCAACAUGUGAAUCAAGUGACAGGUGCUCCUGUCACCUGCCGAUGCUUCAGAGCUCUUCAGCAUGGACUUCCUUCCUCCCAUCAGCAGCUGCUCCUGCACUGACCUUCAUUCACACUGGGAUACCAUCUGCUUCCAGCAGGAGCUGACCUGCGAGACAGAGAAAGGAAACGUGGGAUGAGCACCAAUGCAGAAGCACAAGGCUGUGUCACCACCACGUCUUGCAGCCUUGGGAAGUCAGCUGCAACUGCAGCCUUGGUCAGAUUUCUUUUGCUUUGGGGAA